UGGGGAAUAUUGGACAAUGGGCGCAAGCCUGAUCCAGCCAUGCCGCGUGAGUGAUGAAGGCCCUAGGGUUGUAAAGCUCUUUUGUGCGGGAAGAUAAUGACUGUACCGCAAGAAUAAGCCCCGGCUAACUUCGUGCCAGCAGCCGCGGUAAUACGAAGGGGGCUAGCGUUGCUCGGAAUCACUGGGCGUAAAGGGUGCGUAGGUGGAUUUUUAAGUCAGGGGUGAAAUCCUGGAGCUCAACUCCAGAACUGCCUUUGAUACUGGGAAUCUUGAGUUCGGGAGAGGUGAGUGGAACUGCGAGUGUAGAGGUGAAAUUCGUAGAUAUUCGCAAGAACACCAGUGGCGAAGGCGGCUCACUGGCCCGAUACUGACACUGAGGCACGAAAGCGUGGGGAGCAAACA
rnacentral:rRNA from 1 species